CGCCUGCGGCUCUGAGGACAAGUGCUGGUCGGAUGCAGAGCGGGUCUAAGAAGAGUGUUUUGCGGCCCGCGGAGGCGCGCUUUACUUCCACAUCGGGGAGACCGAAAAGAAGUGCUUUAUUGAGGAGAUUCCGGACGAGACCAUGGUUAUAGGAAACUACCGGACACAGCUGUAUGACAAGCAGCGGGAGGAGUACCAGCCGGCCACCCCCGGGCUUGGUAUGUUCGUGGAGGUGAAGGACCCAGAGGACAAGGAGAAAAGAAAGCAUCUUCUGAAAAAAAAUCAACCUGUGACAUCAUAAAGACAGACAUAGGUUGGCUGAAAAAUAGUGGGAAGACAGAGGUGCCCAUCCAACUACCUGGAAGAACCCAGCAGAAGAGCACAUGAACCUGACUGGAGCCCGCAAAGAGGCACAGGAUCACCACAAGCACUCAGGUUACCCAUAAGAUGGGCCCAAAUUGGACCUUUCUGGAAAGGGCUCCACAGGUUGCUAAGGCUUUUGGAGAACAAGCUUUCUUCAUCCCAUCCAUUUCAGGAUCCGUCCCCACCAAUGCAUGCAGAGCCUCACAUGUUAAUAUCUGGUUAGAAACAAAACACCAGAAUGAAUUGCAGAGCGGGAGGCAAUAAAUGUUUAGGUCAGAAA